UACGAAGGGGGCUAGCGUUGCUCGGAAUCACUGGGCGUAAAGCGCAUGUAGGCGGAUUGUUAAGUCAGGGGUGAAAUCCUGGAGCUCAACUCCAGAACUGCCUUUGAUACUGGCGAUCUUGAGUCCGGGAGAGGUGAGUGGAACUCCGAGUGUAGAGGUGAAAUUCGUAGAUAUUCGGAAGAACACCAGUGGCGAAGGCGGCUCACUGGCCCGGUACUGACGCUGAUGUGCGAAAGCGUGGGGAGCAAACAGG
rnacentral:rRNA from 1 species